rnacentral:pre_miRNA from 15 species
AAGUGGCAGACUGGGAAAUCUCUGCAGGCAAAUGUGACGUUGCUGCCGAAAUCACACACUUGCCCGUAGAGAUGCUGCAGUCUGA